rnacentral:rRNA from 1 species
AUACAUGCAAAGUCGAGCGGACAGAUGGGAGCUUGCUCCCUGAUGUUAGCGGCGGACGGGUGAGUAACACGUGGGUAACCUGCCUGUAAGACUGGGAUAACUCCGGGAAACCGGGGCUAAUACCGGAUGCUUGAUUGAACCGCAUGGUUCAAUUAUAAAAGGUGGCUUUUAGCUACCACUUACAGAUGGACCCGCGGCGCAUUAGCUAGUUGGUGAGGUAACGGCUCACCAAGGCAACGAUGCGUAGCCGACCUGAGAGGGUGAUCGGCCACACUGGGACUGAGACACGGCCCAGACUCCUACGGGAGGCAGCAGUAGGGAAUCUUCCGCAAUGGACGAAAGUCUGACGGAGCAACGCCGCGUGAGUGAUGAAGGUUUUCGGAUCGUAAAACUCUGUUGUUAGGGAAGAACAAGUACCGUUCGAAUAGGGCGGUACCUUGACGGUACCUAACCAGAAAGCCACGGCUAACUACGUGCCAGCAGCCGCGGUAAUACGUAUGUGGCAAGCGUUGUCCGGAAUUAUUGGGCGUAAAGCGCGCGCAGGCGGUUUCUUAAGUCUGAUGUGAAAGCCCCCGGCUCAACCGGGGAGGGUCAUUGGAAACUGGGGGAACUUGAGUGCAGAAGAGGAGAGU